CACCGCGCUAGAGGCUGGCGCCGCCUCCAACCAACCCUACCUGCGCCCUGCGCGCCGCCCGCUCCGGCCAGCCGCCUGCUUUGCUUGCUCUCCCUUUUCCACACAAGAACCGCACGGCCCCGCACCGCGUUUCUUUCCUCUUCGUCUCGUCCGGUCGUUUCCUCCUGCCUCACCUCCGGCGCGCGGCUGGGACGAACCGUGCGACGAGGAGCGGGUCUCUCUAAUCCAGCGGCGGCAAGAUCGCGGUGGCCGUGUGGCAGAAGAGGAAGAGGGCGUCGUUGGGGCAGUCGGCGGUUGGCGGCGAGUGCUCCGGCGGCGGGCACCGGAAGCGGCUUGCGGGAGGGCCGGACUACCUGGACGAGCUCCCUGACGACCUCGUCCUCUCCAUCCUCUCCAAGCUCGUACGGUAGACCGGGUGUAGCAAAGGAUGGAGCAGCACAAAGAAACCGCCCGCGGGAGCUAUUACAGCCAGGCUAAUGCUGCAACGCUUCAGGCUUCAGCAGUUCAAUCACAAGUUCACGUCCAUCUAGAUUUUUUUAGAGGAAUGAGAGAAUCAUCUAGACUGAUGUGGCCUUUGAUGAUGUUCAAGCAUGCACAUACAACCUGCUGAAAAGGCCUUCAAACUUGGAAAGGCCAAGAACUAGUUUCCUGUAGCUGUUAGUACAUCCAAGAACUUAUUGAUCAGGUAUCAUCAGGUAUCCAAAAACUUAUUGCAACUAGCUUGACAUACGUGUCAGUUUCUAUGAACAACAUCAAAAUACUUGUAGUUAUUUCAGUAUAACGAUCAAUUUGGCGAUCACAAUCACA